AACCAAAAACACCCGUGACCUCUACCUGUUUGUGUCUCAAAGUCGUCUAUUCUUGCAGUGGGAGGAUUUGCCGAGGCAGAGAGCCGACUGUGGAAGCGAACAAAAACACGGUUGUCCUUCGUGUCACAGCUCAGAAGGUCAUGGUGGAGCCUCCAUGUAUGGUGCCGUAUUGGAUGUUGGUUUGGUCUGCCAGGUCGUCGGGAGACUCGAUGGGCAC